UAGGAAGUCCUUCUGCAUUAAUUACAAUAAAUAAUAGUCUGAAAACUUUCCAUAUUUAUUUACACAGUUUUACAGUUACUCUAAGAAACCAUUCUAUUUAAUAUUUACAGAUUGCUUCAGUUAGGAAAAAAUACUCAAAACACCAGCAAUCCUAAAGGACUCAUCUAUGUCCCCUUUAUCUACCCUGAUCUCAUGUAGUCCCUAAAACAGGGCUUGCUGCCCUUCUUGCCUUUGAGCAGAUGAGUCAAGAUUGCAGAGGUGGCAGUCAACCAUAGAGUCACAAAGUUUUUUUUUUCUUCAUCAGGUCACAAACUGCCACUGAGCCUGACAGAGUUGGUACUCAAAAAUGCAGAAUGGGAAGAAACGGUGGCCAGGAGGUGGUUCCAAGGACCAUGGGGAUCCUGACCAUUCUGAAGAUGAAGCAGAAAAAGCGGGAGGUGCGACUGCUCAUGCUUGGCCUGCACAAUGCUGGGAAGACAACCAUCCUGAAGAAGUUCAAUGGGGAGGACAUCGACACCAUCUCCCCAACACUGGGCUUCAACAUCAAGACCCUGGAGCACUGAGGAUUCAAGCUGAACAUCUGGGAUGUGGGCGGCCAGAAGUCCCUGCCGUCCUACUGGCGGAACUACUUUGAGAGCACUGACGGCCUCAUCUGGGUGGUGGACAGCACGGACUGCCAGUGCAUGCAGGACUGGCAGCGGGAGCUCCAGAGCCUGCUGCUGGAGGAGCGCCUGGCCGGAGCAACCCUCCUCAUCUUUGCCAACAAGCAGGACCUGCCUGGAGCACUGUCCUCUAACGCCAUCCGUGAGGCCCUGGAGCUGGACUCCAUCCGCAGCCACCACUGGUGCAUCCAGGGCUGCAGUGCCAUCACCAGGGAGAACCUGUUGCAGGGCAUUGACUGGCUCCUGGAUGACAUUUCCAGCCGCAUCUUCACAGCUCAGUGAGCCACUCCAGAUGCCCCCCACCUAGCAGUCUAGGUCCCCCAACCCUCAGCAAACACUAUCCACAGGGGGAUGGGAGUCAGCCAGCCAGACUAACACUCCCCCUCCUCCACCCCUUAAACUGCUGCUGCUACUGCUGCCCGCUGCUGCUCUGUGGCGGGAGGGCUGUGCCCUGGCUGUCUCCCUUGCUUCUGACCUGGCCUUUGGCUGCCAUACCAGGAAAAGAGGGCUAGGCGGGCAGAAGCUGCCUCUGCUGCUACCGAGGCUGUGGGCCUCAUCCUUCGCUCAGCUGUGAAAUAAAUUGCUCCUUGUCCUGGAAAAAAAAAAAAA